rnacentral:rRNA from 1 species
AUUGAACGCUGGCGGAAUGCUUUACACAUGCAAGUCGAGCGGCAGCACGGGGGCAACCCUGGUGGCGAGCGGCGAACGGGUGAGUAAUACAUCGGAACAUGCCCAGUCGUGGGGGAUAACACUUCGAAAGAAGUGCUAAUACCGCAUACGUCCUGAGGGGGAAAGCGGGGGAUCGCAAGACCUCGCGCGAUUGGAGUGGCCGAUGCCAGAUUAGCUAGUUGGUGGGGUAAAGGCCUACCAAGGCAACGAUCUGUAGCUGGUCUGAGAGGAUGAUCAGCCACACUGGGACUGAGACACGGCCCAGACUCCUACGGGAGGCAGCAGUGGGGAAUUUUGGACAAUGGGGGCAACCCUGAUCCAGCCAUUCCGCGUGAGUGAAGAAGGCCUUCGGGUUGUAAAGCUCUUUCGGCAGGAACGAAACGGUGAGCUCUAACAUAGCUUGCUAAUGACGGUACCUGAAGAAGAAGCACCGGCUAACUACGUG